rnacentral:lncRNA from 1 species
GGUGACUAAAUAAUAGGACUUGUUUUUACUUUUGUUUUAUUUUCAUUUUCAUUUUUAUUUUUAUUUUAUUAUUUGAUUUAGUUUUAUUUUAUUAUUGGAUUUAAUUUUAUAUUUCUAGAUUUUAUUAGAUUUUUUAAUUUUUACUCUAAUAUUGGAUUUUGAUUUAGUUUUCGUUUGAUUUUAUUAUUUUGAAAAAAAAAAGAAAGAAAAAAAAACACAAAAGGGAAAAAGAAAAAAAAAAUCAAAAAGAAAAAAAAAGGAAAAGAAAAAAAAAGAAAAGAAAAAAAAAGAAAAGAAAAAAGAAGGAAAAAAAGAGAAGAAAAAGUUUGUUGGCAGGGGACAUAACAGAAUUUCAUCCUCCCUCACACAGAGACCACGCCUCAUCACUCACAGAGGGAGGCACACUCACGACGGAUUAUUUUGAUGAACAUCCAUCAACCAACGAUUUUCUCCAUCUACACAGCGUUUCCUGUUACCAUCAUACUAACCUACACGACCACGAGCUCUGGAUUCACCCACCAGCUCUCACACAUCAACAGAUGACCCCUCUUUUUAAAUCAAUUUUCCUCCAUCACCCCCUACUCCAGCAACCAGAGUAUACAACCACGAGUUCCUCCCUCACCUGUCGUUUUCUGAUAACAGAAACCCACACAUUGACUGAGGACACCCUCCGAAUCCAAUUCCCAAACACACAAAAACAGAAACCAUUUUUGGUCCCCUUCACAAUAUAACAAAAAUUGGUCCUCCAUUAGAGAUCGAACACAUACAGAUUUCACCCCACUAGGAUCCCAAGCUACCAUCACACAACUCACACACACCCCACGCCUCAUGCUCCAAUCCAUCAUCCACAACGUCAGUUUUGUCAACGAUUCGGACCGUUUUUUGAUCACCAAACCCAACUCCAUUUUGGUUUUUCGCAUCAUCUUCAACUCAGGCACA